UACGUAGGGGGCUAGCGUUGUCCGGAUUUAUUGGGCGUAAAGAGCGUGUAGGCGGCCAGGUAGGUCUGCUGUGAAAACUCGAGGCUCAACCUCGAGACGUCGGCGGAAACCAUCUGGCUAGAGUCCGGAAGAGGAGAGUGGAUUACCUGGUGUAGCGGUGAAAUGCGCAGAUAUCAGGAAGAACACCCGUGGCGAAGGCGGCUCUCUGGGACGGUACUGACGCUGAGACGCGAAAGCGUGGGGAGCGAACAGG
rnacentral:rRNA from 1 species